UUUAUUAUAACAAGAAAGAAACUGACUUAUAUGUUGGUAAGUAUUUCAUUAUUUAGGAUUUGAAUUUUCCUAUUGAAAUAUUAUGUUGCUAUUUAUCCAUGAUAACAAUUAAUGUUUAUUUUUCAAGGUUGUUGGUCAUUAACUUAGUUACAUAGGUACAGUAUUUCCUAAUACAUUUAGAGUUAAACAAUAAGCAAGUUUCACUGUGAAUCAAUGAGAUUGGUUGGUCAACAUUGUUUCAUUGUUUAUCACUUUAUUUUAUAAUCAUGGGUAUCACAUAAAGUAAUACAAUAAGAAAGACAACUAUAUAUUUUCAAUGUUUUUAAUUAAAAACAUCAAACUUAAAACUAGAGUAGCAUACCAUAUUUUAUUGAUUUGACUUAUUUUGGCUAUUUAGUUUUAUUCUGAUGAUAAUUCACUUAGCCUAUAUUUAUUUAAUUUAUGCUAGGCCUAAUUGGAAACUAUUUUUACCUAUAUUUUGAGUUUUCUGUGGAGAACGAAUGGCUCAAGUUAAUGAAGCUAAUGAAAUAUCAAAAACCUACCAAGUUUUACAAUCAAUAUCUUGUCGAAUCUCGAUAUAUUACUUGAACUAUCGACAUAAAAUCCAGCUUCUUGCUUCAUCUUGUGAUUUUGUUGUCUGAAAACUUCGUAGCCUAUUAGAAAACUCAUUUCUAAAAGACUUAUAAUAUCGGCGAGUACAUUUAUUUUUGUUUUUCAUUAUAUUUUAAUUGUUAUACAUAGUGAUCAUUUAGAAAGUCAUUUUAGGUUAAAAUUAUGGUGACUUUGUCCCAGUAUAAAAAUUGUGUUAUUAUGCAGGAUAUAUUAUGCAAAUACAAUUCAAUGUAUGAUAAAUAUAAUGUAUUCUACCUAAUAAAACAUAAUUAUUCACCUUGCUUAAAAUUAAUAUGCUCUCAAUAUUCAUUUUUUGCUUAUUCUGUAGCUGGAGCCAACAUGCCCCGACGUUACAAAAAAUUUUAGGCAGCAGAAACAUAAAUAUUUUUCAAUAAAUAACUUGUAAUUUUUUGAAGUGAUUUUCAUUUGUUUUUAGUUUAAUUAUCCAUUUUAAAGGUUGACAUUUGGUUUUACUUUGUAUAAAUCUUGAAAAUUAACUUUUUUUCAUAUAUUUUUCAAAGUCACCCAACCCCUGGUUGACAUUUAGUCCAGGCAAUGAAUGCUCAAAAAAGGGUAUAGAGGGAAAUGUUUGGAAGACAAUUUUUGACCCCGCAGAUCUGUUGAGGUUAAUAAGGAG